CGGGGGAGGCCGGAUCCUGGGCUGUGUCCCCGGCGCCCUGUGCUCCGGAGCCUGCGCUGGUGGAUUCGGGGUCCCGGCCGCGCAGCCCCCU
rnacentral:pre_miRNA from 1 species